GUCCAGACUCCUACGGGAGGCAGCAGUGAGGAAUAUUGGUCAAUGGGCGCGAGCCUGAACCAGCCAAGUCGCGUGAGGGAUGACGGCCCUACGGGUUGUAAACCUCUUUUGUCGGGGAGCAAAUUCCGCCACGUGUGGCGGAGUCGAGAGUACCCGAAGAAAAAGCAUCGGCUAACUCCGUGCCAGCAGCCGCGGUAAUACGGAGGAUGCGAGCGUUAUCCGGAUUUAUUGGGUUUAAAGGGUGCGUAGGCGGACUGUCAAGUCAGCGGUAAAAUUGCGGGGCUCAACCCCGUACUGCCGUUGAAACUGCAUCCCUUGAGUGCGCGAGAAGUAUGCGGAAUGCGUGGUGUAGCGGUGAAAUGCAUAGAUAUCACGCAGAACUCCGAUUGCGAAGGCAGCAUACCGGCGCGCAACUGACGCUCAUGCACGAAAGCGUGGGUAUCGAACAGGAUUAGAUACCCGAGUA
rnacentral:rRNA from 1 species